CUGUCACAGCCCAACAUCUCUGUCAGUGCCCCAGAGGGAGAGCUGGUCUUGGGGCCCCAUGGCCCAGAGGUCCGCUGGGGCCAAAGCUUCUCCAUCGUCUGCUCCACCAAGCCACAGUACCAAGGAGGCUCUUUCCACCUCAUCUUUGACAGGUCAGCAGACAUCUGGACUGAGCUGGCGGUCAAUCACUCUGCCUCUUUCAACUUUCCUGAAGCAGAGUUUUUCCAUGAAGGGAACUACAGCUGCUUCUAUGAAGUCACCUUGUCCACACGUCUGUUCACCUCAGGAAAAACAGAUGUGCUUUGUGUGAUCAUAAGAGCUCUGACAUGGAUGGAGUGGUCUCGCCAUAUGGCAUCUGCACAUCCCUCUGUGAUCUAUGGGGCAACACUUGGCCUGAUGCUCCUUGUGAUAGUCCUGUGCUCAGUGUUGCUGUUGAAGAAAAAGAAGACUCAGCAUAUAUAUAUGUGAUCAAUGAUGAGUAUUGGCCUAUGACUUCAUUUGAAGUACUAAAAUCAGCAGAGCCAGUGAAGACCGAGCAGAGACCAUCUCAGCUGGAGGAAGAAGUUGAAUUUGCAUCGUAAGCAGACCACAGUAUAUAUGUGUGGGUAAAGAUCUGUGUGGGUAAAGAUCUGUGUGUGUAAAGAUCUGUGUGGGUAAAGAUCUGUGUGGGUAAAGAUCUGUGUGGGUAAAGAUAUGUGUGGGUAAAGAUCUGUGUGGGUAAAGAUCUGUGUGGGUAAAGAUCUGUGCUUUUGCUUCACUGAUUUGACGUGAUUGUGUCUGCUGUGUUUUUAUUCAUGUUAAUGCUGUUGUUUUUUUUUGUUUGUUUUUCAAAUAUAAUGGCAGAAUUUAUUUUUGAUUGUUACGUUUAUAUUCUCUAUUUAUAACUUUAGUUUUUCAAGAAAAUAUUGUGUUAUCUCGCCUGUACAAAGCAUAUCCUCAUCUUAAAUUAGUGUGUGACAGCAAAGGUGAGAUCUAUUUGUACCUUACACCACAGCUGAUGAUAAUUUAAUACUUCAAUGUAUCUAAAUAAGUGCAGUGCAUUGUUUCAGUGCCAUUCUUUUUGCUUACAAUAAAUGGAAGCUUU